CUCAGACUUCGACUGAGAAUAACACAAAACGCAAUUUCAUGUCAAAGUAUCUUGUUUCCCAACUCGCGCACCAGUAAACAGACAUGCAACCACAUUGGCUGAGCAAAGCGACUCGGAAGAUGGCACAUAACAACUGGUGACGAGGCCAAACACGACCAGUCGAGGACACCAAAGAAACCCGCAAAAAUUAAACAGAGGUAAAUCAGCCGUACUUUGCAAGGUGAUUCCUCUCCUGCUGCAGUACGCUCUGAAGAUUUAAGAAGUUGGAUCGCAAGGAAAAAAUGCAAAGAGCACCUCGUCCCCUAUGGACCGAAUUCCCACUUUGCACUGAAUUCCGAAUACCAAUCUGGCUGUGCCCCACUCAGGACGUGCUCUCUCCCCUGUUUGUGUGCAAGCUCACUUGAAGUGGAUGGAUGUAUACGAGAUGAGAUCACCCACAUCUGCCACCACCACAGACAGAUUGCAUCAGAUUUCUGUGAUACAUGGGUCACCAGAGGCAAUUGUAUCUGAUAAUGGAACGUCAUUCACCCGCAGAGAAUUCCAAAGAUUUACAAUUUGCAAUGGCAUAACACAGGCUAAGACCUCACCAUACCACCCUGCAUCCAAUGGUUUGGCCGAGGGGGCAGUCCUGACCUUCAAGUCCAGGAUGAAAAAAACUAUUGUAACUAGAUUAUCACAUUUCCCACUCAGCUGUAGGACUACGCCACACACUACCACCGGUAUUGGCCCCACCGAGUUAUUGAUGAAGAGACACCUCAGGGCACUUUUGAGUCUCAUAAGGCCAGGUGGUUGGGGGGGGAUGGUAGAGAGAAGUCAGGAGGCCCAGAACAAUGGACACGAUUACCAUAGUCAUGAAAGAAACUUCACUGUUGGAGACACUGUUUUUGCAAAGAACUUUGGAGAUGGGCCCAAAUGUCUCUCAAGUGAAGUUAGUGCUUGACAGGACCCCUUUCCUAUCACAUAUCGGUCGAAGGCUGGAUAAUGAGGAGACUCAUAGAUCACCUCAGGAAAAGGGAAACAGAUCUACAAGAAAGGAUGCACCAAACAUUCCCAUUUGAGUCUACACCACAUGUAGAAGGAUCUCCACUUGGUUUGGAGGUACCUGUAGGAUCUGUUUGAGCCUGCAAGAGUCAAAGAAACAAACUUACUGGUCCAUACUGGAGGGUCUAGUGGAAAGAUAACUCCUGAGAGGGAGGCCUCGGAUAAACCAUUUGAAGUUGUAGAACUACAACGUUCGACACAUUUGAAGAAGCCUCCAGAGAGACUGAAUUUGUAAAUAGUUUAUUUAUGUAAAUAGUUGAUAUAUAGUAAAGUUGUCAGUUGUACUUUUGAGUAAGGAGGAAAGGAUGUGAUAAUCUGAGGUGCAAUACACCUUUAAGAGAAUGUAAGCAGAUUAACCACGUGACUGUAUUACCCAAUUGCUGUGUAGUACAGGCCACAAUGUUAAUCAGUAGUUUAA